UUUAGCUCUUGUUCAUGAUGUUUGAAGCAUUAUGGUAAUUUUCAAGAAUCUUUUGAAUCUGCCAAAACAAUUUCGGCCCCUGCAUCCAAGACCCUUUCGAAAGUGGGUAAAUCCACUUCUAAUGGUGUUUUGAAGCAUGGAAGAAAAGUAGCAUCUUCUAGAACUGUUGGUACGAAGGCUUUGAGGUCAGAAUCAAUUAUGUCCAUUCAAGAUAUAGCAGUUCAAUCGCAGGCUUUACUAAAUGUUAAAGAUUCCAAUAAGGAGGAUAGGGAAAGAUUGGUAGUAAGGAGGUUUAAGUUUGAAGAUCCACAGAUAGAACAAAUUCAAAACCUUGAG